GAAAUGCGAUAAGUAAUGUGAAUUGCAGAAUUCAGUGAAUCAUCGAAUCUUUGAACACAGCUUGCGCUCCUUGGUAUUCCUUGGAGCAUGCCUGUUUGAGUAUCAUGAAAUCUUCAAAGUAAAUCUUUUGUUAACUCAAUUGGUUUCUACUUUGGUAUUGGAGGUCUUUGCAGCUUCACACCUGCUCCUCUUUGUUCAUUAGCUGGAUCUCAGUGUUAUGCUUGGUUCCACUCGGCGUGAUAAGUUAUCUAUCGCUGAGGACACUGUAAAAGGUGGCCAAGGUAAAUGCAGAUGAACCGCUUCUAAUAGUCCAUUGACUUGGACAAUACUUUUAUGAUCUGAUCUCAAAUCAGGUAGGACUACCCGCUGAACUUAAGC
rnacentral:misc_RNA from 1 species